CUGGCCUGCCCAAUGAGGAAUUCAAUGGCCGCAGUAUUUUAACUGUGCUAAGGUAGCAUAAUCACUUGUCUUUUAAUUGAGGGCUGGAAUGAAAGGUUGGACGAGAUAUUAACUUUCUUUAAUUUAGUUUUAAGAAUUUAAUUUUUGAGUUAAAAAGCUCAAAUUUAUUUGUUGGACGAGAAGACCCUAUAGAUCUUUAUAAUUUUAUAUUUUAGUAAUUUGGUGGUUAUACUUACUGUAAGUAAAAGAAUUAUUUUGUUGGGGUGACUGUAGAAUUUUAUUAACUUCUAUUAUAUUAGUUUCAUUGAUUGAUGUUUUUUUGAUCCAUAUUUUUAUGAU
rnacentral:rRNA from 1 species